AUUGAACGCUGGCGGCAGGCCUAACACAUGCAAGUCGAGCGGAGCGGCAGACGGGUGAGUAAUGCCUAGGAAUCUGCAUGGUAGUGGGGGAUAGCGUCCGGCAACGGGCGCUAAUACCGCAUACUAUCAGAUUAGCCUAGGUCGGAUUAGCUAGUUGGUGGGGUAAAGGCCUACCAAGGCGACGAGCCGUAACUGGUCUGAGAGGAUGAUCAGUCACACGGGAACGGAGACACGGUCCAGACUCCUACGGGAGGCAGCAGUGGGGAAUAUUGGACAAGGGGCGAAAGCCUGAUCCAGCCAUGCCGCGUGUGUGAAGAAGGUCUUCGGUUUGUAAAGCACGUUAAGUUGGGAGGCGUUACCAACAGAAUAAGCACCGGCUAACUUCGUGCCAGCAGCCGCGGUAAUUC
rnacentral:rRNA from 1 species